rnacentral:rRNA from 1 species
AUGGCCGCCGACCGUCUCUCCGCUCUCCCCGACGAUUUGCUGCAGCACAUCCUAUCAUUCGCGCCCGAGCGGGAGGCCGCUGCCAGCGCCGUCCUCUCGCGCCGAUGGCGCACUCUGUGGCGCCGAGAGAGCGCCCUCGACCUGGACAUCAGGCCCUACAUGGCCGCCGACGAGGGUCAAGACCUCCGCAACAGCCCUUCGCCGCUGGACGCCCUCUUGAGCGACGCCGUCGCCGCACUCGCCGCCUUCCCCCGACGCGGCGGCGGCACGGUCCUCAAGAGGCUCACGCUCUUCCUGGACUUAAACGACGUCGACAGCUCGUAUGACAGUGUGGACGACCCCGAACCUGUAGACGACGGCAGGGUCGCCGGCCUCCUCGCUGACCCCGCAGCGGCCGGACUGGAAGAGGUCCUCAUCGGCUGCGAGCACGGCCGUAUGCGGACGACGACCUAUGGCCUGCCGCUGGCCUCCAUGGCGUGCGCCGCCACGCUCCGUGUGCUUGAGCUCGAGAGCUGCAACUUCGAGCCGCCGUUGUCCCCGCGCCGGGCUUUCCCGUGCCUGACGGAGCUGCGGCUGCGCCACUGCUUUUUCAAGGAAGGGUGUCUCCAGGCCAUGGUCGACGCCGCGCCGGCGCUCACCAGCCUGUCACUGGACAGAGUCUCUCAACAGCCGCCGGAUUCAGCCUUCCAGGCCAUGCCGGCCUAUUGCUGGGUGCCCUUCCGGCUCCGCUGCUUGACAGCCACCACCCUGGAGCUAAAGACCUACUCCGUGGGCGCUGAGGAGGAGGACCUCGCCCGCAUCGGCAUCGAGCUCGACAUGCCGAGCCUGCGUUACUUCCGCUACACGGGGGACGCCAUCAAGCUGUCGUUGGCAUCGCCGGCGCCGGGUCUGUCAAGCGUCGACCUGAACGCCAGUCUCCGCGGAGAGCAGUCGCAGUGGGAGCCCACGUCACGUAUGCUCGUAAGCUUCUCCAGCACAAGGGCCUUGAAGCUGCACGUCAACUGCAUGAACGACAUCAUCUACGGCGAGGAGGAGCACGGCGGGGCCAUCCUGCCAACCUUCCCGAACCUCAAGCUCCUCGAACUAGACGAAUUCUUCGAGUACACGAGCAGCAGCGCCGCGUUGGCAAUGGCGAGGCUGCUCCGCUCCUGCCCGGUCAUGUCCGAGCUCCGGCUCAACUUGAACAUGACGCGGUGGUACCGCGACGACGAGCCCAAGACCAAUGAUCCGGCCAGAAGCCCCUUCGCCCAAUCCAUGGACCGAUUCAACAGGCUCGCAUCCAUGACUGCUUCCUCGCGUCGGGUCUCGGAGCUCCCCGCGGUCUUGACAGACGACGGCGCGUUCACCUGCUUGCAGACGAGUCUGCGGAAGGUGACGCUGCAGUUCAAUGCCAAUGAGUUGGACUGCUUCCAGGUCCAGCUCGCCAAGUUCCUGGUGGAGAACGCCAUGGUUCUCGAGGAGAUGCACGUCGACGACGGGAACACGUUCUGGCUGGACCACCUCUGCAACAAGCUCGAAAGAUGGAGAGCUGAUUCGUUCCGCAGGAGGAACCUGACGGACACGGCCCGCUUUCGGGUGCACCACCUAGAAUAG